rnacentral:lncRNA from 1 species
UGGGAAGUGAGGAGCGCCUCUUCCUGGCCGCCAUCCCAUCUAGGAAGUGAGGAGCGUCUCUGGCCGGCUGCCCAUCGCCUGAGAUGUGAGGAGUGCCUCGGCCAGGCCGUGAACCUGUCUGGGAUCUGAGGAGUGUCUCUGCCUGACCGCCACCCCGUCUGGGAGAGACUGUUACAUUUAAAGAAUGCAUCAAAUAGCACAUACCCAGUGGCAGGAGAAAUCGAAGAUGAUUUGGAGGUUUCAAACCAGGGAGAUAUACGGCCACUCAGGAAAAGCAGGAAGAAAAUGUGGAGCUUGAGAUUUCAGCAGAGGCUGACCCAUCAAGUGGAAUCCUGUGGCCAAGAAGCAGCUCCGGCAGAAAGUCAGAGAGAGAGGAGAGUGAGGAUAAGGUACCAUUCCUCUGGUUCUGUUGUUGAAAACUCCGAUUCAUUUUUCAAGUACUUGCUGCAAUGUGACUUUAUGAAACGGUAGAGAGGAUGGAUUUAGGAAGGGAUAGAGAAAUCAAGGACAAUUAGGAAUAAAAGAACUAAAGAAGACAUUUUUGUAAUUGUACACAUUGAGAAGUAAUAAAUACCAUUAGGGAUACACAUUCUUUGAGGACCAGCCUCAGUGUUUUUAACUUUCUGUUCCCAAUGUCUAGCUCUGCUCUCCAGUAUAGAAAACAUACUCAACACAUAUUAUUUGAAUAAAAAAGAUGAACUAUAAGAUAAGCAAAGGUCAGGAG